AGCUUUGCGCAGUGGCAGUAUCGUAGCCAAUGAGGUUUAUCUGAGGCGCGAUUACUGCUAACUGCUAACUGAAAACUUCCUCUCCGGCUUAC
rnacentral:snRNA from 1 species